rnacentral:piRNA from 1 species
UGUCAGCUCACAACUCCGUCAGUCAGUUCC